rnacentral:lncRNA from 1 species
GUGAGCUGAAGACAGAGAUGCCACACCUUUUACCUCUUCUUUAUUCUCUUAUCAACAUCUGUCACCCUGAGUAUACUGAGUAUAUUCAAUGCUUCUUUUAAAAGAUUUAUUUGUUUACGUGGGUGGGUGUUUCCCUGCAUGUAAUAAUGUCUGUGCACUAUGUGCAAGCACAGUGCCUUCAGCGGGCAUCAGAACCUCCUUAAUCUGGAGUCACACAGAUGGUUGAAGGUGGUCAGAUGGGUGCUAGGUAUUGCACCCGGGUCCUCUGGAAGAGCAUCCAAUGCUCUUAACUGCUGUGCUAUCUCCAGCCACAGCCAAUGCUUUUUGACAGAAGUUGCCUUAAGUCCCUGAAACUAACAAGGCAAAUGCCAUUUUCACAGCUAACAGGGCAGGGGCACUAUACACAGCAACACUACUGUGAGGCAAUACAAUACAGCUCUCAGCAGCAUGGCCUCUAACAGAAACUAGGGAUUUUUUUUCUUAUUAUGUAUUUUCUGGGCUUUGUUUUGCUUUGUGUUCAUAUGUUUAUUUGGAACAGUCUCUAAAUUUUUAUUACACUUUUACACAUUUUUGUUUUGUUUUUGUUUGGUUUGGUUGUGUGUGUGUGUGCGCGCGCGCGCGUGUGUGCACGCAUGUGCGUGCAUGUGCAUGUAAAUGUGGACACAGUAGAGGCCAGAGUACAAGUUGAGGAAAUCAACUCCUUCCUUUCACCCUCUGGAUUCUAGGGAUUGAACUUGGAUCAUCAGCGUCUGCUGUUACCUGGUGGUUUGUGUGUGUGUGUGUGUGGGGGGGUGUAUAUUGUAAAAUCCCCCCUGCUGAGUUCCCAGCUCAAUCAUGCCUCCGCUGUCCUUGGAGAACUUUUGGAAAGCCAAGCAAUCCGUAAAGGGGUGAGUAGCACUGAGGUGGGCCUGAACCAUCCUCCAAACUUCUGCACCAAACGCCAUAAACAGUGCUUCAAGUCCAGAGCCCAGCUCCUCGAAUGCUCCCUCCCUCUUCCAGUCUACAAUAGCAUCUUUGUCUCUCAAGCAUCUGCAGCCCGGGCUCCGUCUUCACUCCCCACUUACCGUCCGGGUCCCAGCGGUUCAGGGCUCUCUUCGGUCCACCCUCCCACCUCAUUCCAACACAUCAUCCCCAGCCUAGGCAAAGGUAAAGACUAUAAAACACAAAUCGGAACAUGCCGCUCGUCCGCUUCAAACUUCAGUGUCCUCCCACAAUCCUGAUUGGAAGCCAGACUCCUGCAACGCCAUGGCCACGUGUUCUGGCCGCUGCCUACCACCUCAGGCUGCCACUCCCAUACACAGUCUAUCUGGAUCUCUUCCUAGCCACAUGACCUUUGCCCGGCUGAUCCCCUUUUCUGACUCUUGCCCACUGCUCGGUCUCAUGAAGCCCAGCCCCCUCUUCCCAGGGAUCUUCUCUGAGAGCAUGCGCCCCAACUGCUUCAGAACCUUCACACCCUCACACCCUCAUCUGAAUCCCCUCCCGUGUUGCCCUCCCUCGCUGAUUAGGACCCUGGGUUAUGAUCAUCAUGUGAAUUUGCCUUUUCUACCUCAGAAAUUCCCUGGAGUUGGACACCUCUCGACAGACAGAGCCUGUUCUGGCACUUCUCAGGGACUCGGGCUUCCUUCCUGGGUAAGGCUAAGAUGGUUCAGAGGAGCUCUUUGUUCCAUCCUUCUGAGACCUAAGUGUAUGCUGAAGUCCCCAUCGGCAGACUCUUUGUAUAACGAACACCCACAAAUGGCAAGGCCUUCCAGGGCUACAGCAGAAGUCAAGUCAUCAUCAUUCACUUCUGUCGAAAUCUCAAGAGUCUACUAAUAAGUGCUGAAGACAUACAUAUACAUGCCCUGUUAUCUGCUACUGCACUCGUGUGUGUGUGUGUGUGUGCGAGGGCACACACACACAUACUCAUGGGUGGGAGGGGGUGGAUAAGUUUGGGAUAUGGUUACUCAAAACUUCUCACCAUGCAUUUUCUCUCCUUACCCAAAAGAAUUGUUAUAGCCUCUACCCAACAUCCCCUCCCCACUUCCUUUCUGGCCUGAAGGGUUGACACCAUCAGUUCCUCCUCUUUCUGUGUCUUUCUGAUGCACCCAAACAGACAGAGCAUGGCCGCCUGUGCCUUCCAUACCACCAUGCAACAUUUGUUUACAACUCCUUCUCUUCUCAUCGCAGUUGUCAUAGAGACUCAGAGAUAGGGUCACAGCCCUGAGUGUGAUGCAGGCACUCAUAAAAUGACACAUGCAGCAGCCAAAGGCCAGAAUCAUCACAUCCCUAGGCAGGGAGAAGGAGAUUUCUUAGAAGGCAAGAGUCAUCCGAAGAUUUGAAGUACAGCAUGUGUUCCGAUCAGUAAUCCGGGCACAGACAGCGCCUAGUCAGGUGCAAAGCAUGACUCAAAUAGAAUUACAAGAUGUCCUCCAAGUGGAGGGUAAAGUGCAACUAGCAUUGGGUGGUGGGAGAUAAGGUGUAUUUACAGCAGGAGCCUGGACUUCAGAGGGCCUCAGCUGCUGUAAGGGGUGCUGAAGUGGUUUGGGUUCAAAAAUGAAUAACCAAAUCCCCACUCAAGGGAGGUCCCCAUCCACUCACAGCCAAGGGGGAAGCAUGAAUAAGAAAAGGGUGGAGGUAAGAUGCCAAGUUAUUGGACUGUUGUAGCCAGAGGCAGACAUUCUGGGGACCUGAAGGAGAUGGCCACAGAGUGGGAGAGGAGGAGCCCACCCACGAGGUGAUGGGGCUGGCUGAUGUAGGGGCUGAAGGAGGAGUAAGGACUGUAGCUCCCCGCUGGGACACACGGAGGUGGGACCACGGCAGAGGAGCCUGGGAUGUUUGGAGGGAGGUGAUGAACUCAGGUUGUAUUUUGAAGCGGCUGUGACUCACAAGUGUGUGUUCUAGCACCUGGCAUGGUGCCUGGCAGGAAGCUGAGGAAUAAAUAAAUUGAUGAUGGAUGUUCCCCCAGUCUCUGUAGCCUCAUAAUUCCAGGGAGAUUCUCUCAGGUUCUACUUCCUUCCCACCCAAGCCCCACCUCCUCAUUCCAUAGUCAGGAUUGCU